CGAAGGGUGCAAGCGUUACUCGGAAUUACUGGGCGUAAAGCGUGCGUAGGCGGUUUGUUAAGUCUGAUGUGAAAUCCCCGGGCUCAACCUGGGACGUGCAUUGGGAAACUGGCGAUCUAGAGUACGGUAGAGGGUGGUGGAAUUCCCGGUGUAGCAGUGAAAUGCGUAGAGAUCGGGAGGAACACUCGUGGCGAAGGCGGCCACCUGGACCAGUACUGACGCUGAGGCACGAAAGCGUGGGGAGCAAACAGGAUU
rnacentral:rRNA from 1 species